CUCCGAUUGUGGGGGCGGGAAAGAGAGAGAGAGAGAGGAAGAGAGAGAGACAACACUAGCAAGCUAACGGGUACCCUGAAGCGUUCCCAGGCCAGAGAGGAGAUGUAAUCCCCCCACCUGGUCCUUGGCCUGCCGCGGGGUCUCCUCCCAGUGGGACGUGCAACGAGGACCUCCUUCGGCAUCCGCACGAGAUGCCCGAACCACCUAAGCUGGCUCCUUUCCAAGCGAAGGAGCAGCGGCUCUACUCCUGAGUCUCUCUUGGAUGACUGAACGUCUCGCCCUAUCUCUAAGGGAGAUGCCAGCCACCCUUCUGAGGAAACUCAUUUCGGCCGCUUGUAAUCCCACCUAUGGUCAUGAAAUGACCAUAGGUGAGAGUAGGAAUAUCGAUAGCUCGGUAGACCGAGAGCUUUGCCUUCUGGCUCAGCUCUCGUUUGGUCACAACAGUGCGGCAGAGAGACUGCAAUACUGCCCUAGCUGCUCCGAAUCUCCGGCUGAUUUCCUACCCCGAGAUACUUUAACUCCUCCACCUGGGACAGAGUCUCGUCCUCUACCUGGACUGGUUUCCUGCUGAAAACCCUGGCCUCAGAUUUGGAGAUGCCGACCCUCAUUCCAGCCGCUGAACACUCGGCUGCGAAGCGAUCCAGUGAGAGCUGAAGGUCACGAACCGAAGGUGCCAUCGGGACCACAUCAUCUGCAAACAGCAGUGACGCAACCUUUAGCCCCCCCGAGACGUGGACUCUCUCCGCUAUAGUCACGACUCUGCAGAGAAAUCCUGUCCGUGAAAAUCACAAACAGGAUAUGUGACAGAUCGCAGCCUUUGCGGAAACCAACCCCCACUGGAAACGGAUCCGACUUACAUCCAAGCACCCGGACACAACUCUCGCUUUGGUUGUACAGAGAUUGGACGAAGGUGAAGUUAUGAAUGAGUGAAAUAUUUAUUAGUCUGUUAUUACUUUUUAAACCAGCACUUUUAUUUUAACAUGACAAUUACUAAUAAAGUCAAGGAAGAGAAGGUAGUGACCGAUGGAUCUGCAUGUAAGGGGUUAUUUCCAAAUCACAUUAAUGAUUAUAAUAAAAAAGAACAGCUGAUUUUUUAAAGAUACAUUUAAAUGA